CUGACCUGUCCCCACUGUGAUGUUUGUGUGUUGUAUGUACGGUCGGCAAGGUCUGUCAUCUCGAUUGUGGGCAACUGUAACUGACAAAUAAAGGUUAUCUCAUCAUCUCAUCUCAUCUUCCUGUCUCCUCAAUCUGAGCCCUCACCUCUACUUCAAAACUACUUGUGACAGAAACGUCUCAGGCUGGAAGAGAAACAGAAGAAGAGCUGAAAGAAGUCGUCUCCAGACGCCGGGUGGCCUGUGACCCGGAAGUACCUCCGCGCGGGAGCUACCGCGGUGAUGCGGCGCACAGUCGUUUCUAAUUAUCCGCCAUCUUGUGAGGGCUAUUUAACCACGGAGCUGGGUGACAGUCGGCGUGGGAAUAUUCUCCAAGCCUGGAUAACGGACGGAGAGGAAAUCAUUGGGGAAAGAAGUCACGAGCACAGAUUCACCUUGAAGGAAGACACGGACGCACUAUCACGCACAGCUUGGGACACGGGGAGAAACACACGAAGGACGACUUGCACACUGAACUGUUGUUUGAACCCUUUCUCACUGUAAAUAAAUGCACUGCCUAUUCAUUCCACAAGCUCCACUUUUGGGUCCCUCAUUCUACUAACCGUGACUACAACUGUCACCACAGGGGGCAGCAUACAGCUUUAGUGUAGGUGUCCAUCCCUAAAAGAAGAAACAGGAACAUUCAUGAAGUAACAACCUGCUUCUGUCUGGAUUCACAGAGGGAGGAACUUUAACGUAGCAGCAUUCAGAGAGCAACCUUCAAACACACAAGAAAAAUAGGCUGAAGUGUGGACUUACCACAGAAGUAUUAUUAAAAUGGUCAUUGAUGCUUUUUCCUCAUUUUAAGCCCACUGCAC
ensembl:lncRNA